rnacentral:rRNA from 1 species
AUGGCAGGGGAGUCCCUUGGCCCGCGUGCCCGGCCGACGGUGCCCUCCCCGCCUGACGCAGCAGCCCGGCGGGCGGCGGCGGGGAAGGGGAAGAAGAGAAGCGCGUGGCUGGCGGCGGACGGGAGCAAGCGGUGGGGGGAGGCCUUCUUCCUGCUCUACACGCCCUUCUGGCUCACGCUCUGCCUCGGCCUCGUCGUCCCCUUCAAGCUCUACGAGAGGUUCACGGAGCUGGAGUACUUGGUUAUUGGAUUGGUGUCUGCCGUGCCUGCGUUCCUCAUCCCGCUCUUCCUCGUAGGCAAGGCAGACAACAAUAGAAGUUUGAAAGAUCGUUAUUGGGUUAAGGCUAAUGUUUGGAUUAUGGUUUUCAGUUAUGUUGGCAACUAUUUUUUAACACAUUACUUCUUCACAGUUCUUGGUGCAUCAUAUACUUUUCCGUCAUGGAGGAUGAAUAAUGUACCACAUACAACAUUUCUCCUGACUCAUGCUUGCUUCCUAUUUUAUCACAUGGCAUCAAAUAUAACACUUCGCAAAUUACGCCACUCUACAGCUAAUUUGUCGAUGUCUCUUCAAUGGUUGUUUGAAGUUGCGUGGAUUUUAGCACUCGCAUACUUCAUAGCAUACUUGGAGACCUUAGCCAUUUCAAAUUUUCCAUAUUAUGAAUUCAUCGAUCGGGAUAUAAUGUACACAGUAGGCUCAUUGUUUUAUGCCUUAUACUUCCUUGUCAGCUUCCCAAUGUUCUCAAGGAUUGAUGAAAAAGCAGAGAAGUGGAGUCUGUCGAGGGUAGCCAUUGAUGCCCUGGGUGCAGCAAUGCUUGUCACAAUAAUACUUGACUUGUGGCGCAUAUUUCUAGGGCCAAUAGUGCCCAUCCCUGAGUCAAGACAGUGUGCCCAACCAGGUCUUGCAUGGUUCCAGGUGCACACAUAG